UCUUGAGAAUAUGCAAAGCAAGGUCAGG
rnacentral:piRNA from 1 species